GCAAACUUGGUCAUUUAGAGGAAGUAAAAGUCGUAACAAGGUUUCUGUAGGUGAACCUGCAGAAGGAUCAUUUCUGAUAAUCCGAGUUAGAUCCCAAUUUACCAUUGGUUCUAACUCAACCUUUUAUUACACACUUGUGCACACUGAUUGUAAUGUUGGUAGUUUUGCGCUCUAACAUUACGAUUUCUUAACACCAAAUCUUAGUUAUUUUGUAUGUUUUACUUUUGGACUGGUAACUCGGUCUAAUAAUUUUAAAAACAACUUUUGACAACGGAUCACUUGGUUCUCCCAUCGAUGAAGAACGCAGC
rnacentral:misc_RNA from 1 species